GACUAGAGUUUGAUCCUGGCUCAGAUUGAACGCUGGCGGCAUGCCUUACACAUGCAAGUCGAACGGUAACGCGGGGCAACCUGGCGACGAGUGGCGAACGGGUGAGUAAUGCAUCGGAACGUGCCCAGUAGUGGGGGAUAGCCCGGCGAAAGCCGGAUUAAUACCGCAUACGACCUACGGGUGAAAGUGGGGGAUCGCAAGACCUCACGUCAUAGGAGCGGCCGAUGGCGGAUUAGCUAGUUGGUGAGGUAAAGGCUUACCAAGGCAACGAUCCGUAGCUGGUCUGAGAGGACGACCAGCCACACUGGGACUGAGACACGGCCCAGACUCCUACGGGAGGCAGCAGUGGGGAAUCUUGGACAAUGGGGGCAACCCUGAUCCAGCAAUGCCGCGUGUGGGAUGAAGGCCUUCGGGUUGUAAACCACUUUUGGCGGGGGCGAAAUAUCGAGUGCUAAUACCAUUCGGUGAUGACGGUACCCGCAGAAUAAGCACCGGCUAACUAC
rnacentral:rRNA from 1 species